rnacentral:lncRNA from 1 species
AAAUAACAUUAAGUGGAUCCCUAGACCUGUUGGGAAUUGAAUCACCAAUAGUCUGACCUAUAGGUAAAUUUCUCAUCCAGGUAUAAAAUUGCUGUUCAAAUUGUUGCACUAAUGGUACUUCCUCGCAUGCAGUCUGUUGGAGAGCUAGUGAGAAAUAAGGCUGAAAAUAAUUAAAAGUCAGAACUUGAAGGAUCUUACUAAUCCACAAAACCUACUGCCAGGCCUGGAAAGCUAGAAGCUGGAAAAGGGAAGUGAGAGUUCAUUUUGUAUUCUGGAUGUUGGCUAAGUACCAAGUUGUUCAGGAAAAAUAUCUCACAACACUUCCAAUCAGAAUUCAGAGGAAAUGUCACCUACGUAAACUGCAACUUGACCAACAGUUACUUACAGAGAACCAGUUUAAGGUAAGAGUUCAAUGGGUGAUUUAAUAUCAAUUUGUAUCCUGGCUCUGUAUUUGUCCUAGACCCUGGAUAGAAGCCAUGUUAUUAUACUUUCCAGUCUAGUGCCCACAAACAAUUUAGAAAACAUGUCCUGGACUGUUAAAUUAUGGGCUUCUAGAGAGGAGGC